AACUAUGCCUGGUGUGGAAAAUAAGAAAAGCGAAUAAUGGAUGGGAAAUGUGUGAGUUAGAGAGAGAGAGAGAGAGAGAGAGAGUAUAAGCUAUUUGGUCUCGCCUUGUCAGUUUGGCUACUCUAUCUUUGUCUUUGAAAGAUACGGAACCACACUGACCAUCGGGCGCGCGAGUGAAGCAAAAACGCGCCACCAACACUGCCACGGGCCACCACUAUGGGCUGCACGGCCUCCAAGCUCGACAAUGAAGACACAGUCAGACGUUGCAAGGAGCGGCGUCGCCUCAUGAAGGAAGCGGUUUACGCUCGCCACCACCUCGCCGCCUCUCAUUCCGACUACCUCCGCUCCCUCCGCCUCACUGGCUCCGCUCUUUCCGACUUCGCCGCCGGAGAACCCCUCUCUGUGUCCGCCCAAACCCCAGCUGUUCUCCUCCGAAAUCCUUCCUCAGUCUCUUUCCGUUCAACACAACCACCACCACCACCACCACCACCACUGACCCCAUCUCCACCUCCUCCUCCGCCUCCCCCUGCCUUUUCUCCUUCUCCAACUCCUUCUCCCACUAUCGCAAGCUCAAAGCUUCCACACAUCCUCUCUGAAUCAAGCCCCUCCUCCACUCCCCGCCAACAACCGGCCACGAAAUAUGGUUACCCUUUCAACUUCCCGACCCUCUCCACCUAUUCUAGCACUCCGUCUCAGACUUCAUCCGUUUGGAACUGGGAGAAUUUCUAUCCUCCCUCACCUCCCGGUUCUGAUUUCUACCGCCGAACAAAAGACGAAGAAAACGAUCACCCCCACCUCGACGAAAACGAGGACGAAAAGGAUGAAGGAACCGAGAGGGAAGAAGUUCAUUGCAGCGAAUGGGGCGACCAUUACAGUACCUCGAGCUCCGAUUCCAAAUCCGACAACGAAGAGAGCGAGAGAGACCGAGACGAGAGAUCAGAGAUUGGUUCUAGAUCGAAUUUUGGAUCUUCAUUUCACACUGAGACCACGGCGAAGCCGAAUUAUACACCAAUGGGAAAAUUUGAGAAAUCUGAUGACGCUGGAUCGUCGGUUAGUUGGAAUGCUGGUGGCGGUGGAGAGAUCUCAGACAUGAAAAUGGUUCUUAGGCAUCGAGAUCUGGCAGAGAUCGUCGCUUCCAUCAAAGAAUACUUCGAUAAAGCUGCUGAUGCUGGUGAUUCGGUAUCUGAACUACUCGAGACGGGAAAAGCUCAGCUCGAUCGAAGUUUCAGACAGUUGAAGAAGACUGUUUAUCAUUCGAGUAGCGUUUUGAGUAACCUGAGUUCGACUUGGACUUCGAAGCCGCCGUUAGCGGUAAAGUACCGGCUCGAUACUGGUUCGCUCAAUGAACCGGGCGGUCCGAAGAGUCUUUGCUCGACCUUGGAACGCCUUCUCGCGUGGGAGAAGAAGCUCUACGAGGAAGUGAAGGCCAGAGAGGGAGUGAAGAUCGAGCAUGAAAGGAAGUUGGCAUCACUGCAGAGUCAGGAGUACAGAGGGGAGGAGGAAAUGAAGUUAGACAAGACCAAGGCAUCGAUAAAGAGGCUUCAGUCGCUGAUUAUGGUCACUUCUGAAGCAGUCACUACCACCUCCUCUGCCAUCAUUCAGCUCAGAGACAGUGAACUCUACCCGCAGCUGGUUGAGCUCUGUCGUGGGUUCAUGUACAUGUGGGGAUCAAUGAACCAGUUCCAUGAGAUUCAGAAUCACAUUGUACAACAAGUUCAGGGCCUUGUGAAUCGAUCUGCCAAGGGGGAGUCAACAACUGAACUCCACCGGCAGGCAACCCGCCACCUUGAGUCUGCAGUUUCUGCCUGGCACUCCAGCUUCUGCCGCCUAAUAAAAUACCAGAGGGACUUUAUCAGGUCCCUCCAUGGUUGGCUCAAGCUUACUCUCCUCCACAUUGGCAAUGACAGGAUCACUGGAAGCCAAGAACCUGCCCUUUCUGUCCAAGCUUCCUCUGACCUCUUUGCCUUCUGUGAUGAGUGGAAGCUGUCCAUUGAUCGAAUACCUGACACUGUAGCUUCUGAGGCCGUCAAGAGCUUUGUUAAUGUUGUCCACGUCAUCUCUGUGAAGCAGUCUGAGGAGCUCAAGAUCAAGAGGCGGACGGAAGCUGCCUCUAAGGAGCUUGAGAAGAAGUAUUCGGCACUCCGCAACAUUGAGAAGAAAUACUACCAGUCAUAUUCAAUGGUUGGCAUAGGCCUUCCUGAUAGUGGCCCUAAUGGUGGACUGGUUUUGGAUGCACGAGACCCCCUAGCUGAGAAAAAGUCUGAACUUGCAGUUAGCCAGAGGCAGGUGGAAGAGGAGAUGUCAAGAUAUGCCAAGGCAGUUGAGGUAACAAGGGCAAUGACACUGAAUAACAUACAAACAGGUUUACCUGGAGUGUUUCAGGCAAUGACUCGGUUCUCGGCCUUGUUCACAGAGGCUCUUGAGGGGGUAUGCAACCGUUCCUAUGCUAUUAGAUAAGUAUAUUGAUUUUUUCUUUUUUUUGGGUAAGUAGAUUAGGACCAUCAAGGCUGGGAUUUUUUUCUUCUAAAAAUAUAGGAGGGCCCUUUGUUUCUUUUUCUCCUUUUUCUUUGUGUAGAUAUAUGGAAUUUUGUCAUUUUAGCUUCUUGUGGAAGUUGGAGGGAUGUGUGUGUACAGGAAAUUGCUCAAGAUUGUUGUAAGAGAGGUUGGUUUCUUCAUCAAGUGAAUAAAAAUAACAGAAGAACAAAGCUUGGUCAAGCUGGUUUCCUCAGUUGACCUGGCUGCUAGCCUAAUGAUGGCAGUUGGUAAAAAAUUUCAGCAGGGGGUUUAAUCAGGGUUUGGAUUCACCUGAACCCGACUCAUAAUCGAGUUGGGUUCUAAUGGUUCUGACAAGUUCCCAAGACAUGGAGAGAGUGGAUGUGAGAUCAAAAUCAUGAGAGGAUCAAAAUUAAAUACACUCUUUAAGUCGAGAGCGGCUCUAGAGCGUAUCUAUGAGUAUCCAUCACAGUUUGAGGAAGAGGAAUCAGAUUCAGAUUGGUUGAAUUGGUCGAGAUCAAUCUCAAUUCCGGCUGAUUUCAGAAGGAUUUGGUCACUUAGAUUCAAACUGAUACAAUUCAGAGCCUGCCAGAGACAGUUGUUGAACCCAGCCAAUGGACCCAUAGUGGUUGUUCUGGUUGAGUUUCCAUAUGGUGUGAUAGUGUUGUUUAGAUUAUUGAUUUCUUCUGACACUUGACUCAUAUAUGGAGUUUUACAGCAACCUCUAUGGCUCACUCAUUAUUGUGAGCUAAACAGUCUUGAUGGCAAGCUGAUAGCCAAUUUAAUUUAUUUACAUGCAUGGUUUGUGUGGUCCACUGGGGGGCAGCAGGCUUUGGUUCUUCUAUUUUUCUAUUUCUUCACAGACAGACAGAGACUACUGAAAGAUGAAAUGAGUAAGACAAGUUCUCUAUAA